rnacentral:rRNA from 1 species
GUGGGGAAUAUUGGACAAUGGGCGAAAGCCUGAUCCAGCAAUGCCGCGUGAGUGAAGAAGGCCUUAGGGUUGUAAAGCUCUUUUACCCGGGAAGAUAAUGACUGUACCGGGAGAAUAAGCUCCGGCUAACUCCGUGCCAGCAGCCGCGGUAAUACGGAGGGAGCUAGCGUUGUUCGGAAUCACUGGGCGUAAAGCGCACGUAGGCGGCUUUGUAAGUUAGAGGUGAAAGCCCGGGGCUCAACUCCGGAACUGCCUUUAAGACUGCAUCGCUUGAAUCUGGGAGAGGUAAGUGGAAUUCCGAGUGUAGAGGUGAAAUUCGUAGAUAUUCGGAAGAACACCAGUGGCGAAGGCGGCUUACUGGGCCAGAAUUGACGCUGAGGUGCGAAAGCGUGGGGAGCAAACAGGAUUAGAAACCCUGGUAGUCC